GAUGAAGAACGCAGCGAAACGCGAUAAGUAAUGUGAAUUGCAGAAUCCAGUGAAUCAUCGAAUCUUUGAACGCACAUUGCGCCCGCCAGCAUUCUGGCGGGCAUGCCUGUUCGAGCGUCAUUUCAACCCUCGACCUCCCCUUGGGGAGGUCGGCGUUGGGGACCGGCAGCACACCGCCGGCCCUGAAAUGGAGUGGCGGCCCGUCCGCGGCGACCUCUGCGCAGUAGUACAGCUCGCACCGGGACCCCGACGCGGCCACGCCGUAAAACACCCAACUUCUGAACGUUGACCUCGAAUCAGGUAGGACUACCCGCUGAACUUAAGCAUAUCAAUAAGCGGAGGA
rnacentral:misc_RNA from 1 species